rnacentral:rRNA from 1 species
GUCCACGCGUAAACGAUGUCUACUAGCCGUUGGAGGACUUGAUCCUUUAGUGGCGCAGCUAACGCGAUAAGUAGACCGCCUGGGGAGUACGGUCGCAAGAUUAAAACUCAAAUGAAUUGACGGGGGCCCGCACAAGCGGUGGAGCAUGUGGUUUAAUUCGAAGCAACGCGAAGAACCUUACCUACUCUUGACAUCCAGUGAACUUUUGAGAGAUCAAUUGGUGCCUUCGGGAACACUGAGACAGGUGCUGCAUGGCUGUCGUCAGCUCGUGUUGUGAAAUGUUGGGUUAAGUCCCGUAACGAGCGCAACCCUUGUCCUUAGUUACCAUCAUUAAGUUGGGGACUCUAAGGAGACUGCCGGUGACAAACCGGAGGAAGGCGGGGACGACGUCAAGUCAUCAUGGCCCUUACGAGUAGGGCUACACACGUGCUACAAUGGCAUGUACAAAGGGUUGCCAAGCCGCGAGGUGGAGCUAAUCCCAUAAAGCAUGUCGUA